UACGAAGGGGGCUAGCGUUGCUCGGAAUCACUGGGCGUAAAGCGCACGUAGGCGGAUUGUUAAGUCAGGGGUGAAACCCUGGAGCUCAACUCCAGAACUGCCUUUGAUACUGGCGAUCUUGAGUUCGGGAGAGGUGAGUGGAACUGCGAGUGUAGAGGUGAAAUUCGUAGAUAUUCGCAAGAACACCAGUGGCGAAGGCGGCUCACUGGCCCGAUACUGACGCUGAGGUGCGAAAGCGUGGGGAGCAAACAGG
rnacentral:rRNA from 1 species